rnacentral:rRNA from 1 species
AUGCAGAAGACGUGGCUCGCAGCGGCAGCGGGAACUUUGCACGGCGGCGGUGGCAGGGCUUUCCGGCGGAACAGGUUAGAGGCGCAGGGGCAUGCGGCUCAGCGCUCCUCGUCUCGCUCGAACCGGACAAGGCAGAGGCGGCUGGCUGCGGGAUGCAGGGCACGGUGGCGCAGGUGGGAAGCAGGGGCGACCCGAGCGUCGCAGCGAUGGGAACCUGCCGGAUUCGACAAGGAGUCGAGCGAGGAGGUCGGGGAAGAGGCGAUGCUCGACGCGGGGCUACUGGACCUGGUGCAGCGGAGACCACAAGCAAGGCGGAGCAAGGCGGGGCGUGGAGCUCCAGCUGCGCAUCCAUGGCGAUGCAGAGGACAGUGGCGUCGACUUGGCUGCAGGGAGAUCGCGGGGACGAUGGCGGCUUGGCGUGUUGUCGACACACGACGUAGAAGGCGAGCCGGGGAGGUCGACGUGGUCCCGGGCGUAGCGGCCAACGGGAGCGGGAGGUGA